CACCUACCAGCUAGCCGUAACAUUAAAAGCAAAAUAAACAAUAUUUAUAGCCCCACAAAUACUUACAUAAAUUUAAAUAAACCAUUUUCCACCCCUAGUACGGGCGACCAAAAAGGGACAACAGAGCAAUAGAGAAAGUACCGCAAGGGAAAGCUGAAAUAGCAGUGAAACAAGUCAGUGAAGUAAAGAAAAGCAGAGAUGAAACCUCGUACCUUUUGCAUCAUGAUUUAGCUAGAACGACGAAGCAAAGUGAACUUUAGUUUCUACCCCGAAACUAGGUGAGCUACCCCAGGACAGCCUUUCUUAGGGCGCACCCGUCUCUGUUGCAAAAGAGUGGGAAGAGCCUCGGGUAGAGGUGAAAAAUCUACCGGACCUAGUUAUAGCUGGUUGCCUGGGAAAUGGAUCUAGUUCAGCCUCUUGGUUUCUUAACUCCCACCCUCUUAUUAAGGGCUGAAGACGACAGAGAAUACCAUUAGAGUUAGUCGAAGGAGGUACAGCCCCUUCGACCAAAGAUACAACUUUUUAAGACGGCAAAAGAUCAUAGUCAUACAAGGAGACUGCUCAGGUGGGCCUAAAAGCAGCCACCCUAAAUGAAAGCGUCAAAGCUCAAGCAUAAGAAUAGCCUCUAAUUCCGAUAACUCACUCUUAACCCGCUCCUAAUACCACGCCAAUCUAUAUCAAUAGAAGAGAUUAUGCUAAUAUGAGUAAUAUGAAAACUACAACUUUCUCCCGCGCACAAGUGUACAUCAGAUCGGAUAAACCACUGAUAAUUAACGGCCCCAAGCAAAGAGGGCAUUAAACUAAAAAGAGAAUAACUAGAACUGCAUCUAACUAUUAAACCGUUUACCCCACACCGGAGUGCCACCCAGGGAAGACUAAAAGGAAGAGAAGGAACUCGGCAAACACCUAAAGCCUCGCCUGUUUACCAAAAACAUCGCCUCCUGCAAUACCUUGUAUAGGAGGUCAUGCCUGCCCCGUGACUUUAGUGUUUAACGGCCGCGGUAUCUUGACCGUGCGAAGGUAGCGUAAUCACCUGUCUUUUAAAUGAAGACCUGUAUGAAUGGCCUCACGAGGGCUUUACUGUCUCCUCUCCCCAGUCAAUGAAAUUGAUCUGCCCGUGCAGAAGCGGGCAUUGAAACAUUAGACGAGAAGACCCUAUGGAGCUUAAGACACAAAAUAGCUCGUACCACUACCUCACCACAAAGAGAUCUAACCUACCGACCUCCUAUUUAACGUCUUGGGUUGGGGCGACCAAGGGGAAAAGAAAAACCCCCUUGCGGAAUGGAAGCUUUUUACACCAAUAAUGUUUCCUAAAACACGAACAACCAUUCUAGUUAUCAGAAUUUUUGACCUAACGACCCGGCAAAGCCGAUCAACGAACCAAGUUACCCUAGGGAUAACAGCGCAAUCCCCUCUUAGAGUUCAUAUCGACGAGGGGGGUUACGACCUCGAUGUUGGAUCAGGACAUCCUAAUGGUGCAGCCACUAUUAAGGGUUCGUUUGUUCAACGAUUAAAGUCCUACGUGAUCUGAGUUCAGACCGGAGUAAUCCAGGUCAGUUUCUAUCUAUGCCAUGAUCUUUUCUAGUACGAAAGGACCGAAAAGAAGAAGCCCACUCCAAAGAGAGCUUCACCCCCACCUGCUGAAAUCAACUAAAAUAGUUAAGGGGGCAUAAGUAAUCCAAACCGCAGACAACGGUUCCU
rnacentral:rRNA from 1 species